GAGGCACGACGGGAAAGUCAAGAUGGACGCGACCAUUUGAACGUCUCGGGUGAGAGGUUCUCCCGCACGCCUUCCUGUUGUUAGCAGUCGUGUCCGCAGCUGCCGCCCAGUCUUCCUCCGGAACAGGGGAGGGAGAGGGAAUGAGAAGCUGCAGUGGCCGAGGAGUCGCCGUGACCAUCCCCGCCGCUACUCUUGGGCCCUCUCGGUCCCCUCGCCUCCGGAGAGCAGCCGGGGCUCGCCGCGCCUGACGCGUCCCGAGUCACACAGAAAUAAUGUUGAUAUUUGGAACCCAUGUCGAACUUCUAUGAAGAAAGGGCAACAAUGAUUGCAGCCGGGGAUUUGCAGGAAUUUGUUCCAUUUGGUCGAGACCACUGCAAGCACCACCCUAAUGCUUUGAACCUCCAGCUUCGCCAGCUUCAGCCCGCCUCCGAGUUAUGGUCUUCUGAUGGUGCUGCUGGCCUGGUGGGAUCCCUUCAGGAGGUUACCAUCCAUGAGAAACAGAAGGAGAGCUGGCAGUUAAGGAAAGGUGUCAGUGAAAUCGGAGAAGAAGUGGAUUAUGAUGAGGAACUCUACAUGGCUGGAAACAUGGUUAUCUGGAGCAAAGGAAGUAAAAGCCAGGCAUUGGCUGUUUAUAAGGCAUUUACAGUUGACAGUCCUGUUCAACAGGCAUUGUGGUGUGACUUCAUUAUAUCACAGGAUAAGUCUGAUAAGGACUACAGUAGUGAUGAAGUGGAAAAAUGUAUAUGUAUAUUGCAAAGCUCAUGUAUCAACAUGCAUAGCAUAGAAGGAAAGGAUUACAUAGCUUCUUUACCUUUUCAGGUUGCAAAUGUCUGGCCCACCAAGUAUGGAUUGCUGUUUGAACGAAGCAACUCUUCAUGUGAGGUUCCUCCAGGCCCACCCAGGGAGCCCUUACCCACUCUGUUCAGCAUGUUGCACCCGCUGGACGAAAUCACGCCUCUUGUCUGCAAGUCUGCAAGUCUUUUUGGUUCAUCACGGGUGCAGUAUGUUGUAGAUCAUGCAAUGAAAAUUGUCUUUCUCCACACCGAUCCCUCCAUUGUCAUGACCUAUGACACUGUUCAAGGUCUGCAUUCUGUGUGGGCUCUCCGGAGAGUCAAAACAGAGGAAGGGAAUGUUGUUUUAAAGUUCUCUGAACAGGGGGGCACCCCCCAGAACGUGGCUACUAGCAGCUCGCUCACAGCACACCUCAGAAGCCUCUCCAAGGGCGACUCUCCCGUGGCUUCCCCCUUCCAGAACUACUCCUCCAUCCACAGCCAGAGCCGCUCCGCCUCCUCACCCAGCCUGCACUCCCGUUCACCUUCCAUUUCCAACAUGGCAGCUCUCAGCCGUGCUCAUUCUCCUGCCUUGGGAGUGUACUCUUUUUCAGGGGUGCAGAGGUUCAGCCUUUCAAGCCACAGUCAGUCUCCAAAGAGACACAGCUUUUCUCAUUCUCCAAGUAGUAAUUCUAAUGGCUCCUUUCUUGCACCAGAAACAGAGCCCAUUGUUCCGGAACUUUGUAUCGACCACUUAUGGACAGAAACAGUUCCUCGCCUGAGGAAGAAAAAUUCACAGGCCUCUAAAGUCUUUAUUACAUCUGACCUAUGUGGGCAGAAGUUCUUGUGCUAUUUAGUGGAGUCCGAGCUCCAGUUACGAUGUGUAAAGUUUCAGGAGAGUAAUGAUAAAACGCAGCUCAUCUUCGGCUCUGUGACCAACAUCCAGGCAAAGGAUGCGGCGCCAGUGGAGAAGAUAGACACUAUGCUGGUCCUGGAAAGCAGUGGAAACCUGGUGCUGUAUACAGGAGUGGUGCGGGUGGGUAAGGUUUUUAUUCCUGGGCUGCCAGCUCCUUCCCUGACAAUGUCCAACACGAUGCCUCGGCCCAGCACCCCGCUUGACGGCGUUACUACUGCUAACCCUCUGAGUAAGCUGCUUGGAUCCCUGGAUGAGGUUCUGGUGUCCCCAGUUCCAGAACUAAGGGAUUCUUCAAAGCUUCAUGAUUCUCUGUAUAAUGAGGAUUGUACUUUCCAACAGCUUGGAACUUACAUUCAUUCCAUAAGAGACCCUGUCCGUAACAGGGUGACGCUAGAACUGAGUAAUGGCUCCAUGGUGAGGAUCACUAUUCCUGAAAUUGCCACCUCUGAAUUAGUACAAACUUGUUUGCAAGCGAUUAAGUUCAUUCUGCCGAAAGAAAUAGCGGUUCAGAUGCUCGUCAAGUGGUACAGUGUCCAUAGUGCCCCGGGAGGGCCCAGCGAUCAUUCAGAGUGGAACUUAUUUGUGACCUGUCUAAUGAACAUGAUGGGUUAUAACACAGACCGCUUAGCAUGGACAAGAAAUUUUGACUUUGAAGGAUCACUUUCCCCAGUCAUUGCACCCAAAAAGGCAAGGCCUUCUGAGACGGGAUCUGAUGAUGACUGGGAGUAUUUACUGAACUCAGACUACCACCAGAAUGUUGAGUCUCAUCUCUUGAACAGAUCUUUGUGUUUGAGUCCUUUGGGAGUGUCCCAGAUGAAAGAUGAGGAUUUUUCCCAGAAUCUUAGUUUGGACUCUUCCACACUUCUCUUCACUCACAUACCUGCAAUUUUUUUUGUUCUUCACCUGGUCUAUGAGGAACUCAAGUUGAACACUCUAAUGGGAGAAGGCGUUCGUUCACUUGUUGAACUUCUUGUCCAGCUGGCGAGGGACUUAAAAUUGGAGCCUUACGUAGAUCAUUACUAUAGAGACUACCCAACACUUGUCAGAACUACUGGACAAGUGUGCACAAUUGAUCAAGGUCAAACAGGAUUUAUGCAGUAUCCAUCAUUUUUCACUCCUGAGCCACCUAGUGUUUAUCAGUGGGUGAGUUCCUGUCUGAAGGGUGAAGGAAUGCCACCCUAUCCUUACCUCCCCGGAAUCUGUGAAAGAGGCAGACUUGUUGUCUUGAGUAUUGCACUCUACAUACUUGGUGACGAAAGCUCUCUUUCUGAUGAAUCCUCACAGUAUUUAUCCAGAAUAAGUAUAGCCCCCCAGAAGCCACAAGCAGAACAAGAGGAGAGCAGGUUUAGUUUCAGACAUUCUACAUCAGUUUCUAGCCUAGGUGAGAGAUUAGUUGUCUGGAUGACUAAUGUAGGUUUCACUUUAAGAGACUUGGAAACGCUUCCCUUUGGAAUAGCUCUUCCCAUCCGAGAUGCAAUUUAUCACUGUCGGGAGCAGCCUGCUUCAGACUGGCCGGAAGCUGUCUGCCUCUUGAUUGGACGUCAGGAUCUUUCCAAGCAGGCCUGCGAAGGAAACUUGCCCAAAGGAAAAUCGGUGCUCUCAUCAGAUGUUCCUUCAGGAACAGAAACAGAGGAGGAGGAUGAUGGCAUGAAUGACAUGAACCAGGAGGUGAUGUCGUUGAUAUGGAGUGAAGACUUACGGGUACAGGACGUGCGAAGGCUUCUCCAGAGUGCACAUCCGGUCCGCGUCAAUGUGGUGCAGUACCCAGAGCUCAGUGACCACGAGUUCAUUGAGGAAAAAGAGAACAGAUUGCUCCAGUUGUGUCAGCGAACUAUGGCUCUUCCAGUAGGACGAGGAAUGUUUACCUUGUUUUCAUACCAUCCUGUUCCAACAGAACCAUUGCCUAUUCCUAAGCUGAAUUUAACUGGGCGGGCCCCUCCUCGGAACACGACAGUGGACUUGAACAGUGGGAAUAUCGACGUGCCUCCCAACAUGACCAGCUGGGCCAGCUUCCACAAUGGCGUGGCUGCGGGCCUGAAGAUAGCUCCUGCCUCUCAGAUCGAUUCAGCCUGGAUUGUCUACAAUAAGCCCAAACAUGCCGAGCUAGCCAACGAGUAUGCUGGCUUUCUCAUGGCCCUGGGCCUUAACGGGCACCUCACCAAGCUGGCCACUCUCAAUAUCCACGACUACCUGACCAAAGGUCAUGAGAUGACAAGUAUUGGACUGCUUCUUGGUGUGGCUGCUGCUAAACUAGGCACCAUGGAUAUGUCAGUUACCCGGCUUCUUAGCAUCCACAUUCCUGCUCUCCUGCCCCCAACGUCCACGGAGCUUGAUGUUCCUCACAAUGUCCAGGUGGCUGCAGUGGUUGGCAUCGGCCUUGUGUAUCAAGGGACAGCUCACAGGCACACCGCAGAGGUCCUGUUGGCUGAAAUAGGCCGGCCGCCUGGUCCAGAGAUGGAGUACUGCACCGACAGAGAGUCGUACUCCUUAGCUGCUGGCCUGGCCCUGGGCAUGGUUUGCCUGGGGCACGGCAGUAACCUGAUAGGCAUGUCGGACCUCAAUGUGCCCGAGCAGCUCUAUCAGUACAUGGUUGGAGGGCACAGGCGCUUUCAAGCUGGGAUGCACAGAGAGAAACACAAGUCACCGAGUUACCAGAUCAAGGAAGGAGAUACCAUAAAUGUGGAUGUGACUUGUCCAGGUGCCACUCUCGCUUUGGCCAUGAUCUACUUAAAAACCAAUAACAGAUCCAUUGCAGACUGGCUCCGGGCUCCAGACACCAUGUAUUUGCUGGACUUUGUGAAGCCAGAGUUCCUUUUACUGAGGACGCUUGCUCGAUGCCUGAUUUUGUGGGAUGAUAUUUUACCAAAUUCCAAGUGGGUUGAUAGCAACGUUCCUCAAAUUAUAAGAGAAAAUAGUAUCUCUCUCAGUGAGAUUGAAUUGCCUUGCUCAGAGGAUUUGAAUUUGGAAACUUUGUCGCAGGCACAUGUCUACAUCAUUGCAGGAGCUUGUUUGUCUCUGGGUUUUCGAUUUGCUGGCUCAGAAAACUUAUCAGCAUUUAACUGUCUGCAUAAAUUUGCAAAAGAUUUUAUGACUUAUUUGUCUGCACCUAAUGCUUCUGUAACGGGUCCUUACAACCUGGAGACUUGCCUGAGCGUGGUCCUGCUGUCUCUUGCCAUGGUGAUGGCUGGCUCGGGGAACCUGAAGGUUCUGCAACUUUGUCGCUUCUUACACAUGAAGACAGGUGGUGAAAUGAACUAUGGCUUCCACUUAGCCCAUCACAUGGCCCUCGGACUUCUGUUUUUGGGAGGAGGCAGGUACUCUCUGAGCACGUCAGACUCGUCCAUCGCCGCCCUCCUGUGUGCCCUCUACCCCCACUUCCCAGCUCACAGCACUGACAACCGGUAUCACCUCCAGGCUCUCCGGCACCUGUACGUGCUGGCUGCAGAACCCAGACUGCUGGUGCCCGUGGAUGUGGACACAAACAUGCCCUGCUACGCCCUAUUAGAAGUGACCUAUAAGGGCACUCAGUGGUAUGAACAAACCAAAGAAGAAUUGAUGGCCCCCACCCUUCUUCCAGAACUCCACCUUUUAAAACAGAUUAAAGUUAAAGGCCCAAGAUACUGGGAACUGCUCAUAGAUUUAAGCAAGGGAACGCAACACUUGAAGUCCAUUCUUUCCAAGGAUGGGGUUUUAUAUGUUAAGCUCAGAGCAGGUCAACUCUCCUACAAAGAAGAUCCAAUGGGGUGGCAAAGUUUAUUGGCCCAGACUGUAGCUAACAGGAACUCUGAAGCUCGGGCCUUCAAGCCUGAAACAAUUUCCACAUUCACUUCUGAUCCAGCACUUCUGUCAUUUGCUGAAUAUUUCUGCAAACCAACUGUGAACGUUGGGCAGAAACAGGAGCUUCUGGAUCUCUUCUCUUCAGUGCUCUACGAAUGUGUGACUCAGGAGACCCCAGAGAUGUUACCUGCAUACAUAGCAAUGGAUCAGGCUGUAAGAAGACUGGGAAGAAGAGAAAUGUCUGAGACAUCUGACCUUUGGCAGAUAAAGUUGGUGCUGGAGUUUUUCAGCUCCAGAAGCCAUCAGGAACGGCUGCAGAACCAGCCUAAGCGAGGGCUUUUUAUGAACUCGGAAUUCCUCCCUGUUGUCAAAUGCACUAUUGACAAUAUUCUGGACCAGUGGCUACAAGCUGGAGGUGACAGGUGUGUGCACGCCUACCUCAACGGGCAGCCCUGCGAGGAGCCGCAGCUGAGCAUGCUGGCCUGCUUCCUGGUCUACCACGCAGUGCCGGCCCCCCAGCGCCUGCCAUCUACCGGCCUGGAAGGGAGCACAAGCUUUGCAGAACUCCUCUUCAGAUUUAAACAGCUGAAGAUGCCAGUGCGGGCCUUGCUGAGAUUGGCUCCUCUGCUGCUUGGAAACCCACAGCCAAUGGUUAUGUGAUCAUGGCUGGUGCAACAAAGGGCUUUUAGCAUUUCCUAGGGUGCCACCAUUGUCUAAAGCAAGUUUGUUCAUCCUGUGACCGUGCCGUAGCAUGAUGGAGCAUCUCAAACAGGAGGAGAUUUAUACCCUAGUAAAGAACUGUCCAGCAUGAAGCCUGCUCUAAACAGAGAAAAUGCAAAGUUCUCACCACAGAGACAUCUUCAGAAAUUGUAUUUUAAAAUAAAAGAUAGUUCAUUUCCACCCAGGAUUUAGAGAAUGUACACCCAUAUCAAGUUUUUGGACUAGAUGAUAAGGAACGGUAUUUGUAUAAGAUGUCUUCAGCUUCAGGUUUCUGGACGAAGAAGAAGAUGACUUCCUGUUGUCUAGAUUCUGAGGUGUCUUCUGCCUCCUUAAAUGGCCAGCGGGACCUUAAACUAGUCAAAGCUGCAAGGCCUCCUGAGGAGACAGAGGAUGUUCUGAACAGUUGAAUCCUGAGUAAGCAUGCUUGAAUCAUCGGAGAAGUCAGUGCCAGCUGUUCAUGGGCUCUCCAAAAAUCUUAAGAGUAUAACUCACCAUCCAGGACAUUUUAGCCUCCUCAUAGCCGUGGAGGAGGAAGAGCUGGAGAAAAAUGCUUCUGGUUCCGAGUGGGCCCAGAAGUGGCCCCUGUCACUUCCUGCUACUGCAUGUUGGCGGGAAGUAAAUUCCUCCACCUCAUUAACUGCUCUCUCACAAAGGGGAGAUCCAGACCUUAGUGCGUCUUGGUGAUGUCUGUCAUUAUGUGGUUCCUCACUCGCUGCUAGUUCCCUCCGUCCAUCUCUGCUCACACAGGUGGAAAUGUGUGGCAUUGCCUCCAUAGAUGGAUGUAAUUAAAGGAACAGUACAUUAAUACUGUUUCCCUGAUGGAUGCUGACAUCUGUGCUCCUACCUCGAACAUCUUACAAAGCAGUGAAGGCAUGAACUUGUGGGCAGCUCUGAGGCAUGGUCACCAGGCCUGAGCAAGAACACCAGUGGUGGAAGCCUCACAGAGCUUCUGAGCGCUGCUCAAUCUUCCUUGAGUAAGGCCAGUUCUCACCCUUUGCCUGGAAACCAGCCGACUUCACAGCUUCCUGAGAGGGGCAUGUCCCAGCUUAGGGGACCUCCUGACAUCCUAGAAGAGGCAAGAAGGGGGCGGGACUUGCAUCUCUCAGCCUGGUGGUGGUGUGAGGCUGGUGAACCAGCUGGGCAGAUGGAGCCCCUGGGUGUGGGAGCCGAGAUCGGGGUUGGAAACCAGAGCCAUGGAGUUGAGACAGGAAUUGUUAGAGAAAGGGACGUGUUAGGACUCCAAGGGAUGCAUGUGCCAAACCCAUCCUGAGUGGGGCAGCCAGGAGGCAUCACUGGGAGCUGGGUGAGACUGAAGGCUGUGGGCCAGUCUGAGACCAAACCAGGAAGAUGUUGUUACAUCCUUCAUGAGGUUUGGGGGCCUCUUCUGGGUUCCCCAUCCUCAUCCUGACCAAAUUUUGUGGGAAAAGCCUCCCUGUAUGAUGACCUCUCCAGCUCAGCAGUGGAGGGGGGACAGAAUCAGUUGCCCUGUGGCUGCUGUGUUUGCAGUUGUGAACCAGCAGUGGAAGGGAGCAGAGGCAAGGUGGAAGCCUUCUAAGAGGGCUUUCCCAGGCUGGGGGGGGGUGGCGGGGAGGUGCGGUGUCAACACCCUGCACCAUACAGACACUUGCGCUGGUUCCCACAGCUCCCAGGUGACUGUCCCUUCCUGCUUCCAAGACCAGGCCCCCCCUACUCUGAAAUACAAUGGCUGCUUCUCUGCAGUCACGAGCUUCAGAUAAGUGUUCUUUGGUAAAAGCCUCUGAGACCACAUCCGUGGCUUUGGCCCGUGGACGAGGAAGACCUGCGUGCUCGCCGUCCUCUCGCUCUCCUGCGUCUUCAGUUGGUGUGCAGUGUGGUGUGCUUGCAGAGUGCGGGCUGCUCAGAGGGCCGGGCCUGGAGGCUCCAGAUGAGGGGAGCCCAUCGGUCAGGCAUCUACACCACACACUCGCUUGGGUGAGCCCUGGUCCUGCCUCUUGUUCCACAGCUGAGACCUGAGGGUCAGGGCAGGAGGUGGCCGGCCCAGGGCCACACGACUCCCAGUCACCGCCUGGACAAGCCUGGGCACCCGGGCCACGGUGUUCAUACAGAGAACUUUGUCCACGACUGCCUGUCUUCCUGGUCCAGUGGACACUCAGGAAGAGGCUGGUGAAGUGUAAGUUACUUGGCUAUUGUACCACGCAGAGUUUAUGAACACCUUAAAAAGCAGACAGAUGACUCUUACUUUCUCCACACAUCUUUGGAGAAACAAAGGUCUUUGUGUGUAUUUUCUUGGAAUUAGAUUUAUUGAAUUAGUCUGUAUGCUGCUUUCUUAAUCAUACAACAACCAUCUUAAACUGUUUGUCUUUUAGCUAAAAAUAUUUCUUCCGUGGUGCAUUAGAACAUGAAAUAGGAAGUUUAGGAAAAGCAUUUUAUACUAAGUUCAAUAAAAGCCCUGAAAAUCUGA